rnacentral:rRNA from 1 species
CAGUUAAAAGCUCGUAGUUGGAUUUUGGUUAAGAGGGCGCGGUCGGCCGUUUGGUCUGUACUGCGUUGUCUUGACUUCCUGAUGAGGACAUGCUCUUGGUUAACGCUGAGACAUGGAGUCAUCGUGGUUACUUUGAAAAAAUUAGAGUGUUCAAAGCGGGCUUACGCUUGAAUAUAUUAGCAUGGAAUAACACUAUAGGACUCCUGUCCUAUCUCGUUGGUCUCGGGAUGGGAGUAAUGAUUAAGAGGAACAGUUGGGGGCAUUCGUAUUUCAUUGUCAGAGGUGAAAUUCUUGGAUUUAUGAAAGACGAACUUCUGCGAAAGCAUUUGCCAAGGAUGUUUUCAUUAAUCAAGAACGAAAGUUGGGGGCUCGAAGAUGAUUAGAUACCAUCCUAGUCUCAACCAUAAACGAUGCCGACUAGGGAUUGGGUGGAUGUUAAUUGAUGACUUCACCAGCACCUUAUGAGAAAUCAAAGUUUUUGGGUUCCGGGGGGAGUAUGGUCGCAAGGCUGAAACUUAAAGGAAUUGACGGAAGGGCACCACCAGGCGUGGAGCCUGCGGCUUAAUUUGACUCAACACGGGGAAACUUACCAGGUCCAGACAUAAGUAUGAUUGACAGAUUGAGAGCUCUUUCUUGAUUCUAUGGGGUGGGGUGUGGGCUGGCCGUUCUUAGUUUGUGGGAGUGGAUUUGUU